rnacentral:lncRNA from 1 species
UGAAAAUAAGUAAAAAUAAGCAAAAAUAAAAAUUUAGAAUGUGACCUUGACCUUUGACCUUGACCUUAUUUUAAUUUUUUUGGACCAAGGAUCUCAAAUCAAGAGACCCUAGGUCUCUAUCACUUAUGGUUUACCAGUUGGAAAUGGAUAUCACUUAAUUAAAUGGAAAAGGGGGUAUAACUCUCAUAUGGAGUCUCCGUAAAGCUUCUGUCCAAAUGAAUAUCCUAAUCCUGAAGAUGUAACGAGCAAUUUGGUAAAAUAAAUUUGUCGUAAUCUUUUACGGUUGUGAAGGAGUAGUGGCCACAAGAAAAACAGUGUUUGGGGAGAUAACUCUUACAACGUAAAGUAUUUUGUUACGCAGUUGUAAAUUUUUAAAGCGUAUAAACUAUACGACAUCAUAUUCCAAAUAUCUAAGCAACAUCUUUUAAAACAUCAAUAAUACGCAAGAAAAAAAUUUAGGCGGAAGAAAAAAAAAAAAAAAAAUAAUAAUCAGAACAAAUUCAAUAGGUCUUUCCACGGAAAAGUGGAAAGACCUAAUUA